UUGCCCCGAGAUGAGUUCUCCCUGAGACUUUAAGUCUCCUGAAGGAACGUUAAAGACGAUGACGUUGAUAGGCCGGGUGUGUAAGCGCAGCGAUGCGUUGAGCUAACCGGUACUAAUGAACCGUGAGGCUUAACCUUACAACGCCGAAG
rnacentral:rRNA from 1 species